GGGGGUGUAAAGGUUUCGACGGGGGUAAUAAGCAAAGGUUGCAUGCCGAGGUCCGGGUGGCUCGUUAAACAAUCCGGGACGCUUUAAGCGCCGAUAAUUAUAACUACGCCGUAGCAGCUUAAUACCCUGCUACCGAUCUACCGCCUCUCUCCCAUGGAGUAGGAUAGAUCGUCAUUUUAGUGGGAUAGCCGACGGGAGAGCCUGCGUACCUGACGCGAAACCUUAGCAGGAUCGACCUCUGAAUAUCCCGGCCAGUGGAGCUUCAGGGGGCUAAAACAAAAACUGGUAUAAGCAUGUAGACGCCUUCUGUGUACGAUCUUCGGACGCGGGUUCGAUUCCCGCCACCUCCACCA
rnacentral:tmRNA from 1 species